AUAUAGGAGUUGUAGAAGUUAAUUAGGAUGCCAGACUAUGAUAGUCAUGAGCCGAGGGCCAUCGCUGUGAUAGUAUGAGCUGGGGUAAGCUUGGUGCUACAUCUUUUCUUUUAUUUUUUAUUUUCUUUGAAUAAGAAGAUUGAGAGUUUCUGAAUAUUGUGAAGUGAAUUAUAGAAUAGAAAUAUGAUUGGUAUUAUUUGAAAAGAAGAAAGAUUAAAUGCUAAAAUUUGAUUGUAGUUCAGCAAAGAGAAUGAGUCUGUGUUGUGUGAAACAGCGUAAUGUGAAUGGCAGAUCUGUGUGAAGAAUUUUAGUAAUUGGAAUGAGAAUAAUUGUGUGCUGAAAGCUGUGAGGGCAUAGUAUUACAGUUGGAAAUUAUGAAGGUGAAUAUAUUGGUCAAAAUAGCUAUUAUUGAUAUGACUGAAUUGCUGUAAGGAAGAGAUCGAUAAGGUGAAGGAGGAGAUUAUAGUUUCCUUGUGUGUCAGAUAUUAGAAAUAGAGACGAUACAUUUAGGAGGUAAUUGAUUGUGUGAUCCUAACGUGAACGCUUAAGUAACUAGUCAUUCUUCAUGUUCGAAUCUCCCUAUACAGGUUUAUUCCCAUUAGAUUAAUUUGGAAUAAAUAAAACGAGCAGUCACAUGUAGGAUUCAAUUUAGGAUUUAAUUUAGGAUCUAGGGUUCGAUUUAAGAUUUGGUUUAGAAUUCAGGAUUUGUCCAGAAUUUGAUUUAGAAUUUGAUUUAGGAUCAAAGAUUUGAUCUAUGAUUUGAUUUAGGAUUUAGUGUUUGUUUAAGGUUUGAUUUAAAAUUUGAUUUAUGAUUUAGAAUUUAUCUAAGAUUUGAUUUAGGAUUUAUAAUUUGUCUAAGAUUUGUUUUAGGAUUUGAUUUAAGAUCUAAGAUUUGAUCUAGGAUUUAGUUUAAGAUUUAAGGUUUAUCUAAGAUUCGAUUUAAGAUUUGAUUUCAGAUCUAGGAUUUGAUCUAGGAUUUGGUUUAAGAUUUAGGAUUUAUCUAGGAUUUGAUUUAGGAUUUAGAAUUUAGGAUUUGUUUAGGAUUUGAUUUAAGAUCUAAUUUAGGAUCUAAGAUUUGAUCUAGGAUUUGAUUUAAAAUCUAAUUUAGGAUCUAAGGUUUGAUCUAGGGUUUGAUUUAGGAUUUAGGAUUUGUCUAAGGUUUGAUUUAGAAUUUGAUUUAGAAUUUAGGAUUUUUCUAAGAUUUGAUUUAGGAUUUAUAAUUUAUCUAAGAUUUGUUUUAGGAUUUGAUUUAGGAUCUAAGAUUUGAUUUAGGAUUUAAGAAUUUUCUAAGAUUUGAUUUAAGGUUUAUAAUUUGUCUAAGGUUUGUUUUAGGAUUUGAUUUAGGAUCUAAGGUUUGAUCUAGGAUUUUGUUUAGGAUUAAAAAUUUGUUUAGGGUUUGAUUUAGGAUUUGAUUUAGGAUUUGAUUUAGAGUCUAAGAUUUGAUCUAGAUUUGAUUUAGGAUUUAAGAUUUCUCUAAGGUUUGAUUUAGAGUUUGAUUUAGGAUUUAGGAAUUGUCUAGGAUUUGAUUUAGGAUUUAUAAUUUAUCUAAGAAUUGUUUCAAGAUUUGAUUUAGGAUCUUAGAUUUGAUCUAGGAUUUAGUUUAGGAUUUAAGGUUUGUGUAGGAUUUGAUUUAAGAUUUGAUUUAGGAUUUAGGAUUUGAUCUAGGAUUUGGUUUAAGAUUAAAGAUUUAUCUAGGAUUUAAUUUAGGAUUUAGGAUUUAAGAUUUAGGACUUUUUUAGGAUUUGAUUUAGGAUUUAGGAUUUUUGUAAGAUUUGAUUUAGAGUUUGAUUUAGGAUUUAGGAUUAUCUAGGAUUUGAUUUAAGAUUUAUAAUUUUUUUAAGGUUUGUUUUAGGAUUUGGUUUAGGAUUUAGGAUUUUUUUAGGAUUUGAUUUUAGAUUAGAUUUAGGAUUUAGGGUUUAAUAUUUGUCUAGGAUUUGAUUUAUAAUUUAUAAUUUAUCUAAGAUUUUUUUUAGGAUUUAAUUUAAGAUUUAAGGUUUAAUCUAGGUUUUGGUUUAGGAUUUAAGAUUUAUUUAGGAAUUGAUUUAGGAUUUGGUUUAGGAUCUAAGAUUUAUCUAAGAUUUAAUUUAGGAUUUGAUUUAGGAUCUAAGAUUUGAUCUAAGCUUUGAUUUAGGAUUUAGAAUUUGUUUAAGAUUUGAUUUAGGGCUUGAUUUAGGAUUUAAAAUUUUUCUAAGAUUUAAUUGAAGUCCAUUAGGAUUUUAACUAGGAUUAAAUUAGAACUUUGUUGAAAUUUAUUUAAG
rnacentral:lncRNA from 1 species